UCUCCAUUUUAAAUUUUCUUCGAUGUCUGCCAAUUGGAAACCAACUAGCACACUUACUAAAAGCAAUUGUUCUUCAUGAGAAGAAUAUUGGAAAUGGAAGGUAGGAGCCUUGCAAAGGUUGAGAAGUUGAUAUUACAAUUUGCUAGCUCUUAGAACAAUACUGUCUGUCUAUAACAUGUUGCUAGGUAAAUAGCACCUUAAAUAAUAUGUUUAAUAGUGAAUAAAGAACCCGAUAUCUCACAAGUGCUAAGGUGUGUGACCUGUUUGGUUAAACAUCCUGGAACACGCCUCUUGGUAAAAGUUAAUGCUAGCAAGCC
rnacentral:lncRNA from 1 species